UUAUGCAAACUUAGCCGCUUCUUGAGCAGCAGAGGUAGCAUCCUUAAAUUUCAUGUUCCAAUUUCGCCUGCCAACAGGAAAAUUACCAUUACAAUCUCUAGGAAAUGAUUACCCAUGUUCCAACCUUUCAUCCUUGAAACCUAAGUGGCAUGAACCACCAUCAUCAACUCAAUAUUGACUUGAAAGUUCUACAACAACUCUGGCAGCUAGGCUUGAAUGUUAUGCUAAUUUAGCCGCUAGCUUGAGCAGCAGAGGUAGCAUCCUUAAAUUUCAUGUUCCAAUUUCGCCUGCCAACCGAAAAAUUACCAUUACCAUCUCUAGGAAAUGAUUGCCCAUGUUCCAACAUUUCAUCAUUGACACCUAAGUGGCAUGAACCACCAUCAUCAACAAAAUAUUGCCUUGAAAGUUCUACAACAACUCUGGCAGCUAGGC
rnacentral:lncRNA from 1 species